GACGAACGCUGGCGGCGUGCUUAACACAUGCAAGUCGAACGGAAAGGCCCUUCGGGUUCCUCGAGUGGCGAACGGGUGAGUAACACGUGGGUGAUCUGCCCUGCACUUUGGGAUAAGCCUGGGAAACUGGGUCUAAUACCGAAUAGGACCACGCGCUUCAUGGUGUGUGGUGUCAAGCUUUUGCGGUGUUGGAUGGGCCCGCGGCCUAUCAGCUUGUUGGUGGGGUAAUGGCCUACCAAGGCGACGACGGCUAGCCGGCCUGAGAGGGUGACCGGCCACACUGGGACUGAGAGACGGCCCAGACGCCUACGGGAGGCAGCAGGGGGGAAUAUUGCACAAUGGGCGCAAGCCUGAUGCAGCGACGCCGCGUGAGGGAUGACGGCCUUCGGGUUGUAAACCUCUUUCAAUAGGGACGAAGCGCAAGUGACGGUACCUAUAGAAGAAGCACCGGCCAACUACGUG
rnacentral:rRNA from 1 species